CCCCACAUUACUAUCCCAACUAGAGCAGGUAUGUCGUGCGCAUGUGUGUUUGUUGGAUCAUCUCAAGCACAUGGAACUGGGUGGAGCAAACAAAAAUAACCCAAAGGCAACAGGGCCAUUAGUCAGGCUGGGAGAUCACCAGGGACCAGGACCUGAUAAACCAGCACAGACUGCUGGAGCACAGCAGAUAGCAGCUCCAUUAAUUAGCCAGUGAAUCAGAACAGCAGCAAACUGUUGCCAGCCACAUACUGUAAACAUCAAGCAUGAAAGAUCUCAUUACGCUAAAGCUGGGAGGUUAACUAGUGGAUAGGCUUGUUAUGAUUCCCGCCUCAAUUGUUGGAGGAAUAAAAGGAACUACAAUUACAUCUCAGGUGCACGCUAAAAACUCUGCGGGUAUACUUCUGCAGCAGCUGCUGCGUGGGGAAAUGGUUUAACCUCAGAGCCUCAGGAAAUUACUUUUAGUUCCCUAAAGCGACGUCCUGACGAGAUUAAAAAACAGAACAAAGGAGACAACAGAAAGCAAAAGAGGGGGAGAAUUUCCCUUGAGAUGAAUGGCGGGAUUGCGCAGGCGCGAACGAGGUCGACUCAUUCCGGUGGAGACGGGCUGAAAAUGGCAAGUGCAAAAAAAGUGCUGCAUUUACUUAAUGGGGAAAGGAUCAAAGAUGGAUAACAAGGUGGCAUGGAGCGAUGACAUCUUAUUUCUGAACGUUUUAAAAUGUCGGAUUAUAGACAACAAGAGAACAAGAUAUUGAGUCAUUUAUAUGAGCUAAAUAUGAGAUCAAUUUGACAACAGUCAUUUUAAAUCAGAUUAAAAUCAAUCAUUUAACUAAACUUACAGGGUGAUGAAAUGUUCUGUUGUCAAAUACAGAAACU